rnacentral:rRNA from 1 species
AUACGGAGGGUGCAAACGUUGUUCGGAAUCACUGGGCGUAAAGGGCGCGCAGGCGGUUUGAUUAGUCAGAUGUGAAAGCCCAUGGCUCAACCAUGGAAGUGCAUUUGAAACUGUCAGACUUGAGUACUAGAGGGGAAAGUGGAAUUCCCGGUGUAGAGGUGAAAUUCGUAGAUAUCGGGAGGAAUACCGGUGGCGAAGGCGACUUUCUGGCUAGAUACUGACGCUGAGGCGCGAAAGCGUGGGGAGCAAACAGGAUUAGAAACCCCAGUAGUCC